GUUGCCUACGGGGCGCAGCAGUAGGGAAUCUUCCACAAUGGGCGCAAGCCUGACCCAGCAACGCCGCGUGAAGGAAGAAGGCCCUCGGGUUGUAAACUUCUUUUAUCAAGGACGAAACAAAUGACGGUACUUGAUGAAUAAGCCACGGCUAACUACGUGCCAGCAGCCGCGGUAAUACGUAGGUGGCAAGCGUUAUCCGGAUUUACUGGGUGUAAAGGGCGUGUAGGCGGGACUGCAAGUCAGAUGUGAAAACCAUGGGCUCAACCCAUGGCCUGCAUUUGAAACUGUAGUUCUUGAGUGUUGGG
rnacentral:rRNA from 1 species